rnacentral:misc_RNA from 1 species
AAGUCGUAACAAGGUUUCCGUAGGUGAACCUGCGGAAGGAUCAUUAACACUAUUUUCUGAAAAAAAUAGGAAAAGCGUUUAAUCACGCAUUCUUAUUUUUUCAAUCCAAACUUACCCAAACUUUUAUUUGAAAGUGCUGGUUGAUUUCGUAAGAAAAUCUCCUAUUUUAUUUUUUUUUACCAAAACCCCAAAUCUUUCUUUGCUAAUGCAAAUGACAAUUACAAACACUAAAAAAUAACUACUUUAAUGUAACCAAACAACUCUUAGCAACGGAUAUCUUGGCUCUC